GGCUGACACAUUCCUGUACAAAUAUAAGAGUAAAUUUGUAAUUUUGACUAUAAAUGAAUAAAAGGAUUAUUCUACUAUCACAUUGUAUACAUUGUCUGUGAUAUAUCCUUUGAGUUAGUAGGAAUGUUAAUUCAUAUUUUCAAGAGUUGAAAAUUUAAGGCAUGAAUUUACAUAGCUAACUCAUAAACAGCUCCUGACC
rnacentral:lncRNA from 1 species